rnacentral:rRNA from 1 species
AGAGUUCGAUCCUGGCUCAGGACGAACGCUGGCGGCGUGCCUUACCCAUGCAAGUCGAACGGCUUAGCUACGGCUAGGCAGUGGCAGACGGCUGAGUAACACGUGAGGAUCUGUCCAGUUGAGGGGGAUAGCCGCUCGAAAGAGCGGGUAAUACCGCGUAAGCUCCCGAGAGGGAGGAAACCUGCGAGGUGACACUUGUGGGGUGACUGGAGGAACUCGCGGCCCAUCAGGUAGUAGGUGUGGUAGAAGCGCACCUAGCCUAUGACGGGUAGCUGGUCUGAGAGGAUGAUCAGCCAGACUGGGACUGAGAGACGGCCCAGACUCCUACGGGGGGCAGCAGGGGGGAAUCUUGGUCAAUGGGGGAAACCCUGAACCAGCGACGCCGCGUGAGGGACGAAGGCCUUCGGGUCGUAAACCUCUUUUGCCAGGGAAGAUGAUGACGGUACCUGGCGAAUAAGCCCCGGCUAACUACGUGCCAGCAGCCGCGGUAAUACGUAGGGGGCGAGCGUUGUCCGGAUUUAUUGGGCGUAAAGAGCGCGUAGGCGGUUUUGAGAGUCGGCUGUGAAAUCUCCAGGCCUAACCUGGAGGGGUCGGCCGAGACCUUGAGACAUGAGGGUGGUAGAGGAAGGUGGAAUUCCGGGUGUAGUGGUGAAAUGCGUAGAUAUCCGGAGGAACACCAGUGGCGAAGGCGGCCUUCUGGGCCAUACCUGACGCUGAGGCGCGAAAGCGUGGGGAGCGAACCGAAUUAGAUACUCGGGUAGUCCACGCCCUAAACGAUGGACGCUAGGUGUCGGGGGUAUCGACCCCCCCGGUGCCCGAGCUAACGCAGUAAGCGUCCCGCCUGGGGAGUACGGCCGCAAGGCUAAAACUCAAAGGAAUUGACGGGGGCCCGCACAAGCGGUGGAGCAUGUGGUUCAAUUCGACGCAACGCGAAGAACCUUACCUGGGCUCGAACGGCUCGUGAUCGGCUGUGGAAACACGGCUUUCCCGCAAGGGACUAGAGUCGAGGUGCUGCAUGGCUGUCGUCAGCUCGUGUCGUGAGAUGUUGGGUUAAGUCCCGCAACGAGCGCAACCCUUGUCCUGUGUUGCUACCCGAAAGGGGCACUCUCAGGAGACUGCCAGCGAUAAGCUGGAGGAAGGUGGGGACGACGUCAAGUCAUCAUGGCCUUUAUGUCCAGGGCUACACACGUGCUACAAUGGGCGGUACAAUACGCUGCAAACCCGCGAGGGGGAGCUAAUCGCUAAAAACCGUUCUCAGUUCGGAUCGCAGGCUGCAACUCGCCUGCGUGAAGCUGGAAUCGCUAGUAAUGGCAUAUCAGAACGAUGCCGUGAAUACGUUCCCGGGCCUUGUACACACCGCCCGUCACAUCACGAAAGUGGGUUGUACUAGAAGUCUGCAGGCUAACCCGCAAGG